rnacentral:rRNA from 1 species
AUUGAACGCUGGCGGCAUGCCUUACACAUGCAAGUCGAACGGCAGCACGGGGGCAACCCUGGUGGCGAGUGGCGAACGGGUGAGUAAUGCAUCGGAACGUGCCCAGUAGUGGGGGAUAACCCGGCGAAAGCCGGGCUAAUACCGCAUACGACCUAAGGGUGAAAGCGGGGGACCGUAAGGCCUCGCGCUAUUGGAGCGGCCGAUGUCUGAUUAGCUAGUUGGCGGGGUAAAAGCCCACCAAGGCGACGAUCAGUAGCUGGUCUGAGAGGACGACCAGCCACACUGGGACUGAGACACGGCCCAGACUCCUACGGGAGGCAGCAGUGGGGAAUUUCGGACAAUGGGCGCAAGCCUGAUCCAGCAAUGCCGCGUGCAGGAAGAAGGCCUUCGGGUUGUAAACUGCUUUUGUCAGGGAAGAAAUCUUCUGGGUUAAUACCUCGGGAGGAUGACGGUACCUGAAGAAUAAGCACCGGCUAACUACGUGCCAGCAGCCGCAGUAAAAC